CCGGAAAUAGUUUAAUUAAAAUAGUAAUUUUGGGGAUUAAGAAUAGGGUUUAGUACCUUUUUCCUGA
rnacentral:tRNA from 1 species